rnacentral:rRNA from 1 species
GACGAACGCUGGCGGCGUGACUAAUACAUGCAAGUCGAACGCAGUGGGGACUGGUGAGUAACCCGUGGGUAACCUCCCAUCAGAGGGGAUAACACUUGGAAACAGGUGCUAAACCGAUACUGAUGGAUGGACCUGCGGGGCAUUAGCUAGUAGGUGAGGUAACGGCUCACCAAGGGCACCAUGCAUAGCCGACCUGAUAGGGUGAUCGGCCACACUGGGACUGAGACACGGCCCAGACUCCUACGGGAGGCAGCAGUAGUGAAUCUUCGGCAAUGGACGAAAGUCUGACCGAGCAACGCCGCGUGAGUGAAGAAGGUUUUCGGAUCGUAAAACUCUGUUGUUAGAGAAGCGGUAUCUAACCAGAAAGCCACGGCUAACUACGUGCCAGCAGCCGCGGUAAUAC